rnacentral:miRNA from 1 species
UUGCCAAGGACUGAGAGCUCGGG